GACGAACGCUGGCGGCGUGCUUAACACAUGCAAGUCGAACGGAAAGGCCCCCACCUUGGUGGGGGUGCUCGAGUGGCGAACGGGUGAGUAACACGUGGGUGAUCUGCCCUGUACUUCGGAAUAAGCCUGGGAAACUGGGUCUAAUACCGGAUAGGAGCCAUUUUUAGUGUGAUGGUUGGAAAGUUUUUUCGGUGUAGGAUGAGCUCGCGGCCUAUCAGCUUGUUGGUGGGGUAAUGGCCUACCAAGGCGGCGACGGGUAGCCGGCCUGAGAGGGUGGACGGCCACAUUGGGACUGAGAUACGGCCCAGACUCCUACGGGAGGCAGCAGUGGGGAAUAUUGCACAAUGGGCGCAAGCCUGAUGCAGCGACGCCGCGUGGGGGAUGACGGCCUUCGGGUUGUAAACUCCUUUCGCUAGGGACGAAGCUUUUGUGACGGUACCUAGAUAAGAAGCACCGGCUAACUACGUGCCAGCAGCCGCGGUAAUACGUAGGGUGCGAGCGUUGUCCGGAAUUACUGGGCGUAAAGGGCUCGUAGGUGGUUUGUCGCGUCGUCUGUGAAAUUCCGGGGCUUAACUCCGGGCGUGCAGGCGAUACGGGCAUAACUUGAGUACUGUAGGGGUAACUGGAAUUCCUGGUGUAGCGGUGAAAUGCGCAGAUAUCAGGAGGAACACCGAUGGCGAAGGCAGGUUACUGGGCAGUUACUGACGCUGAGGAGCGAAAGCAUGGGUAGCGAACA
rnacentral:rRNA from 1 species